ACGAUUCGGGUUAUAACUACUCAUAACUCAUAAGUCAUAACUUCGUAAGAGAGUGUGUUUGGCACAUUUCACUAUUUCAGUUCUAGAAAAUGUCUGCUGUUGCUGCUCCUUCCGCUAUUUCCAUUUCUUCCUCAUUUCUCACUCAUCCAGUUAUGUUUGCAGGGUUUAAAGGGGGGCUCAACUCUACCCGCUUCUCACCAUGGAAACUCAAGGAAACAAGAGUAAGAAGAGCCAGUGCUGAUGUUGUUACAGCCAAGUUUGAUUUGAAUCCCCCACCUUAUCCAAUUGAUGCCUUGGAGCCUCACAUGAGCAAACAGACAUUUGAAUAUCAUUGGGGGAAGCAUCAUAGAGCAUAUGUGGAUAACUUGAACAAGCAAAUAGUUGGAACAGAAUUAGAUGGAUUACCUCUCGAAGAAGUAGUACGUAUCACAUAUAAUAAAGGGGACAUGCUUCCUGCAUUUAAUAAUGCAGCACAGGCCUGGAACCACGAGUUCUUUUGGGAGUCCAUGAAGCCUGGUGGUGGGGGAAAGCCUUCUGGCGAGCUUUUGGCACAAAUUGAAAAGGAUUUUGGUUCUUUUGAAGCAUUUACUACUGAAUUCAAGACUGCUGCAGCCACACAAUUUGGUUCUGGCUGGGCUUGGCUUGUUUAUAAAGCAAAUAAAUUGGAUGUCGGAAAUGCAGUAAACCCGAAGCCUUCCGAAGAUGACAAGAAGCUUGUAGUUGUCAAGAGCCCAAAUGCUGUGAACCCUCUCGUUUGGGAUUAUUAUCCAAUUCUUACUGUUGAUGUUUGGGAGCAUGCGUAUUACUUGGACUUCCAGAAUCGAAGGCCUGAUUACCUCUCGAUCUUCAUGGAAAACCUUGUUUCCUGGGAUGCUGUCAAUGCAAGAUAUGAGGCAGCCAAGGCUUUUGCUACCGAGAGAGAGGAAGAGGCAGCGCAGAAUUAACAAGAUUUCGCUAGACAGUAAGUACUGACGGCUAUUAUAUAGUGUGAUACUGAUGGCUCAUAAUCAAAAUAAUGGGAACAUGUUUAAGGUUUAAUGGUUAGUUGGUUACUAAUGAUCAAGUUAGCAAGCAGUAUAUGCCAGAGUUGGUGCUGAGGAUUGAAUUCGUAGUUUAAUCUUGUGGAAUAUGGUCAAGCUGUUGUAGUUCAGCAUAAGUGUUCCUUCUGUUGAUGAUUGUAUGUAUAAAGGGUGUAUUAUAGCUUGUUAUACAGUUUUGAUUGAAAUGCUUGUGAGAAUAAAUAUAACGAGCAACUCUGUGGAAACAUACUUUUGUAGAGGAACUUAACGGCGAAUAAUGCAGAAUUAUUUUUACUCUGUA